UGGGCCGGGCUGGGCGAGACGCUGCCCCCGCGGAGCACGCCCCUCGCCCGGGCUAGCCAAAAUUUGGCUUCCUUCGCGGAUUGGUGCGGCCCGUGGGCCGGGCCUGGCGCUGCAGCGCCGGGCUGGUUGGGGCGGUUUUGCAGGGGACCUCGAGUCACGUGACUCUUCCUGCUGCGCCCCGUCACCUCCACCCGGUCCUGGGACGUGCGGUCCUUGGCCCCGUGAGCUCCUGUUGUGGGCCGAGGUCUGCGGUGAAAGCCCGCGUUGGAGCUCCUGCCCUCAUGGACUUUACAGCCCAGAGGGGGCCUUUAUUUAAUCCGUCAAUACACGACUCACCAUGGAAGUGCCUGGACCCUGUCCUCUUUCCUUCGUGUUUCUAAAUCUAGCGUGUAAUUUUGAAAUCAAUUUGUAUCCUCCUGUCCCUUUACCAACCACAAUGUUAGGGCAAGGCUGUCUCUUUUUGGCACCCCCACUUAGAGUAUAUGCAGCAAAAGACUUGGACAUAAUUUUAGUGUUGGAACGGACUUCAGCUUACAGUCUCUGGAGUUGGUUAACUUCUGGACCCCAGAGAUCACCUUAACAACUGUCCCUUCUUAAAUACUGACCCAGCGAUUACCUCUGAACGGGACGGUGUGCGUGGGGAUGGAGGGUGUGCAGAGAGGGGGAAGCGGGGGCGUCUAGAAUAAAAGACCUGCUUCUCAUAUCUGCUCUUGUUAUUCAGUGUGCAUUUUUCCACGUUUUUUUAAUUAAAAAAAAUAGUUGUGUUCGCCCAGAUUCAAAACAAAUGUUAAAUUAAAAAGUAGCAACCCAAACGGCAAAGGAGGAAGCACAGUAACUUAAUAUCAGAUGGACUGUUGUAACUGGUAUUCGUAACAAAAUAUGUAACUUUUCCAUAAUUUUUUUAAAACAUUCUCUGCAUUCCCCAGGAGGUGAGCAAAGAAGCCAGGAUGCCUCAAAUCAAAGCUGAAACUGCUUCACCACUCACUAGCCUCUUGUGGUCAGACUGUGUCUCCUUCCGGGUGUUUGGUUUUUUUCUUUUUUUUCUUUUUUUCUUUUUUUUUUCCUCAGACUUCCAACACAGCAGCCUGGCACGCAGGGAGAAGAGUAAACUCUGAAAAUAUGUGUCUAAUGAAAAUUGGAUGAAACCCUGAUCCAGCUGAAGUACAGCAUUAGACAAAGAGAGCCAGGGAGGGUUCUUGACUUACCCAAAUAAAACUGUAGAAGAAUAACAGUGUUGCAUCAUACUUUCAUCUGACUUACUCAGAUUCAGUUAUGCACUUGCCAAAAAGAGCAAAUGAAAACCAGUUACAGUGCAGCAAUUCCUCGGCAAUUUUACUGAGAAUGUAUUCCUUGCAGCUCCCCUUCAGAGGGACUUUGUUCUCAUGUGCCUUCUAAGUGAGAGCAACCUACUGCACACAUGCCUAAUUUAAAGAACUUCUAAGUAAUUUUUUUUUUUGCAUUCGGUUUUAACCUUACUUGCUGAGUUUAUUAAUUUAUGUAAUUUUUUAGAGAGGAGGGAGGGGCAGAGGGAGAGAGAGAGAAUCUUAAGCAGGCCAGCAUAGAGCCGGAUGCGGGCCUUGAUCCCACAAACCUGAGAUCAUGACCUGAGCAGAAAUCAAGAGUUGGGCACUUAAGCGACUGAGCCACCCAGGUGCCCCUACUUGCUGACUUUAGAAUCUAAUUUCCUUGCUAUUUUUUUUUUGUGGCGUUUAAGAUUUACAAAAAAAUAUUUUCAAAUGCCUGAUUUGAUUUAGUUCCAAGGUAAACCUUCAAUGUAGGUAAUAUUGAUGUGAUGUUUAUUCUCACUUUCUCUGUAAAGAAGCAGGACCAGAGUGGUGGAGGAGUCUUUUCAUAUGGCCUGAAAAGAAAUGUUUCUUCUGCAGACCCACUCAUCUUGAGAAUGGUUGAAUUGAAUUGUGCUAUGGCUGGAGGGAGUGAGGGGCUGCAGGGUGCGGUGAGUAAUAUCUGACUUCCUACAACCCUUUACUUAAGGGUUCCACAUUGCAGUAGAAACCUUAUGGACUGGAUUUUCCAACUUUCAGAUAUCCUAUUCUAACCUUACUUUGUAAAAUACACUAGCAAUUCCGUGGCCUGGAUCUUCCUUCUCCUUCUCCUAUCCCACUACCUUCACUCUCUAGCCAAACCUGUUGAACUGUUCUGGCCUAAGACUAAGCUGGUAAGUGAAAACUAACAGGUAUGCGUUUUCAACCUAACAGACCUUUCUUUAUUACAAGAAAUAAUGUUGGUAAGGGUGCACAGAAACAGAAGUACAUUUAUAAACUGUUGGUGGGAGUAUAAUUUGGUACAAUUUUUCUAAAGUAUAGUUGGAAUUACAUUUAAAAAUGAAUAGAUCUUUAUGCACACCCUUGGCCCCAACUAUUUCCGAUUAUUAUUUUCUAAGGAAACAAACACUGGUAUGUACAUAGUUCAACUUUAAGAAUGUACCCCACAGGGGCUCCUGGGUGACUCAGUCAGUUAAGCCUCUAACUCUUGAUUUCGGCUUAGGUCAUAAUCUCGGGGUCAUGAGAUUGAGCCCCACAUCCAACUCCAUACUGGGUGUUGAGCCUGUUUAAGAUUCUCUCUCUCUCUCUCUCUCAGCCUUCCUCUGUUCUCCUGCCCCAUCCCCCUCAGCCUCAUGCGCGCAUUCUCUCUCUCUCUCUCUAAUAAGUGAAUGUACCCCACAAAAGUGUCACGAAGAGAAAAUAAUCUAAAUGUCCCCCCAAAAGACAGUAAUAUAGUCCUUUCUUAGAAUGGAAUUUUUUUUAAUUAAAAAUUAUGUUGUCUCUCAUGAACUCAUAUUACUUUUGUAAUGAGAAAAAACGUUAUGUGAAACAGUAAAAUUGCUAAUGAUUGAUAAAGUCCCACUUGUCCUGCUUUCAGCGGAGCCCACAAUACUGGCAGAUCAAAGGGAGUAAUGCAGUAACAUGGGGUCUCAGGCCCAGUCCUGAGACUCAUCAGAGGAGGCUUAGGAGGAAAGGCACUGUGGGUGACCAGACCAUGAGUAAGCCCUGUGCAAUGAUAGCACAGAAUCAGGACCAGAUUUGGAUUGUGAACGCACCACUCCCUGUGUUUGGGGACCUCCAUAAGAAACUAUGAAAAUAUCCACUGUAGACAAUAUUGCUUUAGUUUGUGAUUCUCUGACACUUUUAACUUAACAUCUUAAUUAUACUCUCUUUAGGUGGAAUUGAUAUAUUUGCUUCGGGGCUGGACUUUUAUCACUUAUCCCACUUGGAAGAUUGGUAAUGAAUAUCUGAGCACAAAUGAUCUGAUGUGUGAGUUUUGCUUCAGAGUAACCUGAGGGGGAGUGAAGAAGGUGGAAUUAUAUAUGAAAUGAGGUUGGCCAUGAGUUGAUCAUCUUGGAAGCUGAGUGAUGGGUACUGGGGAAUUCAUUGUGUUACUUGCUUUCCUUUUCCGUACGAUUGAAAUUUUCAGUAAUAAAAAGUAUAACCAUUUAAAUUAAAAAGAUCAUCUCAGUAACUUUGGUCACAUGUAACUAACCAGUCUACCUUGUCCCCAAUCCUCCCAACAGCGUUAAAUAUGACUUGGAAUCACUUAAUUAACUAUAAAGGCAGGAUGGCUUAUGAUUAAUGGGGCUCCGUGAUUGUAAACAAAACUGCAGGCUGCAGCAUGAAUGGAAACUAGAAAAUACAGUGCUAGAAUUUCUUCUGAUCCACAUCCUUAGUUAUCCUAUCAGCACAUACACAAGACAGAAAGUGCAAUGGGUUCCUGGUUGAGAAAAAUUACUCUAAGAAAAUGAAUGAGAUCAGCAUUUUCACCUUUACCUGAAGGAUAACAUCCUUUGUAGCUCAAGCAAAAAUGAAGAUAAUAAUUUAUCCAAAAGGCCAUGGGAAUUCUUGGAAAUAAGCAGUGCAAGGAAGAGAGAAGAAGGAAUCAUAUUAGCCAGGUAUUAAUAAUUGCAUUUCUUGGGUUCUCUCACUUUCAAUGAAACUUUGGACAAAUAUAAGUUUAAAAAGAAUGGAGCAAGAGAACUUCUGAAAGAAUUCCACCCAACCAAGCAGUCAAGUAACUACCCAGUGUGUCAAGAUUCAAUAAUCCUCCAAAACCUUUCUCUGCUGUCUCACACAGACACUGCCCCCCUUCAAGAACAAGGAACCAUCUAUGAGCUGCUUCUCCAUGCUCCCCUUCCAGCAAUGCAGCACCUCUUCUACCUGGGCUCUCUUCCUUCAUAGGCUUACCUUUCCUUUACUCUUGCGCAGGGGCCAUGUUAAUCUUCUCUGUAUCGUUCCAAUUUUAGUAUAUGUGCUGCCGAAGCGAGCACCUUUUUUUUACUCUUGAUCUUCAUUUUGGCUCCCCUAGAAGCUGACUCACACAUACAAAUAGUUUAUUUGGGUGGUGAUGCGAGGAAGUGCCCACAAGGGCAGUAAGACAAGGGAAGGAAGGCAGCCAACAAAGGGAGUGUUUUCAAGCAUGUUAGCAUGGUGGGUAACAGGCACUUAGUCCCCCUGAGGAAUUCUGGGAAGCAGUGCAGAACCCAUGCCUCUGAGUUACUCUACCUGAGAAGUGAGGGAACUAGAGAUUUAUACACCAACUCUUAUCAGUCAUUAGUGAAGAGCUGCUCCUGGGAGGUGUUAAAUCUUCACGUACUCAGUGUCCAUGCUCACAGUUGGACCUCCGGCCACUAGAAGAAGCCAUUGCAAGCUGAUGCACCUGCUCCUGCUGGCAGUUGAUAAAGCCCCAUGAAGACAUGGCCAGCACACCAACAGCAUCUGUUACACUGGUGUCUGAGGUUCUACACAUUUUUUUUUUAAGAUUUGAUUUAUUUUUUUUUUUUUUUGAGAAAGAGAGAGAGAGCAUAAACAGGGGGAUGGGCAGAGGGAGAAGCAAAUUCUCCACUGAGCAGGGAGCCUGGUGUGGGGCUCAAUCUCAGGACCCUGGGAUCAUGACCUGAGUUGAAGACAGAUGCUUCAUUGACUGAGCCACCCAGGCACCCCUGGUGUCUGAGAUUCUAAUCUAGUAGUGAAACCCAUUACCAAAAGGCAGGGCUCACAGCACAGGAAAGAUCAAAGGCUCUGGAGAGAGACAGAUUGGUUUCAGAAUCAGGAUCUUUAACCUCUCUAAGCUUCAAAACUCCACAGAAGAUUGUUGUGGGGAUUGAAUCAUGUCAUUCCUGUAAAAGCCCCCAAUAUUGUGAUUGGCACACAGUACAUAGUCCCCAAAAUCCUAGUUAUGAACAUUUUUAUUAACACCUGAUCUCCUCCCAGAGACCUAAAGUCAGACACAACCUGAAAAUAUUCUGCUUGCCCAGGCUGCCCAGCAGGGACCCAGAAGUUUCCAUCUUGCUCCUGGCACAGCAUUUACUUUGGCAGAAGUGAGCAGAACUGACAAAACUUCUGGAUUUCAGUCCAGCUACUGUAGCCUUGAGGACGAGGCUGGAUGGAGCCCUGAAUUAUCAUCAGAGCGGGGUGAGGAUUGUCUCCAGCUGAGUGGGGCUCGAAAGGUCACAAAAGAGUGGACAGAUCCCCCAAGCAAUAGGUUCUAGGGCAAGUCCACUUUGGAAUCUAUUUUUCUACCCAGCCACUCUGACAGUCUUUAAUUUUUUUUUUCUUUAUGUUUGUGAGGAAAAAUAGAAGAGGAAAAAAACUAGUACUUCUUACUCUCCAUAACAAGUUCCAACACAAAAACAUAACUGCCCUUUCAAUAAGCAAGUAUUUUUGGAAUUCCUUAGUUGAAAUGAAAUUACAUGGUUCACAUACUCAAAGCAAUUUUUUUCCAACUGUUUUUUCCUCCCCAGUCAGUGGAGACCAGACUUUUGGAAAAGCUCAGACUUUCAUUAAAAUUCAGCAAUGUAGAAUAGAAGAGCUGGGUGGGUCCUGCUCAGAUUUUUCUUUGUUGCUAAACAUCUCUACCGAACUGACAGCAAGUACAGAUUUUGGAAAGGCCAUGGAGAGCCCUAUGAGGCCACAUAAAGACAACAACAAAGGCAAGUUUUGAGGAAGAAAAUGUCUGUUUUCUAAAUUACAGAAAACACAAAUUUUCCGAUUCUUAAGGUAAUGUCUGAAAUAAACAUAUAGUAGAUUUAUUUCAUCAUGGUGCUGUAUUUUUCUAAAUUGCUCAUUGAUAGUGAAGAUUAUAAUUGAAAUGACAAAUUUCAAAAAAUGUUUAGCAAUGGGUAUUUACAGAUUCUUGAUGAAAACUUAUUGCAUGCCUUAAUGAAGAUAACCAUAUCCUCCAAAAUUGGCACUGGAAAGAGAAUCUUCACGUAGAGAGGAAUAGCAAGAUUGUAUACCCCUCUUAGGCUCACCCUCCCGUUGGCCUGUGGGGAGAAAGCACUGUUUUCUGCUUUAAUAUUGACAUAAGCCAGGGCAGUAGAUUGGCGGGAUUCUGAGAGUAUGUCCCAAUAAACUUCCUGUACCCUAAUCUCUGUCUCAAGCAGAGUCUGCUUCCCUGAAAACAUACUUUGUGGCAGGUACCCACAGCCCAGGGGUGCAUAUCCAGACACAUGAACUCUUUAAAUCUAGACCCAAAAUAGUAAAGAAGGAGAAGGCCAAAGCAGCCUAUUAUUGUCUGUAGGUGGACCUGUCUACGCUCAGUGAUUGGUGGCCUCUUCCUCUUUGCAGAAGGAAGUUUGACUAUCUGUCUGUUGAGGUCUCUGAAAAAUAACCACAUCAGAAUAUAACCCAAGAAGUAUAAUAUUUAUAAAUCUCUGUGGGUUGUGGGGACAUUUUGUUAUAAACUAUCUUACAAAUAGUCAAAAUAAAUUAGCAAAAAAGAAUAGAGUGACUUAAAAGAAAUGAAAGAGGUAUUGACAUACCUCACUUUGUAAAAAACACAGUCCUAGAAAAGGGGACCAUGAAUCACAUUUUGGUGAAUUAAAUUAUAUUUUAAUGUCAGUAGUGGAAGUUACCAUUUCUUAAAGAUUUCUGUGACAACUAGUUUGGCAGAGAAAAAAUUGCAAAUUGAAAUCAUCACCUUCCAAUUUGUUACUUUAUGAAACUAGAUUUUCAUUUACUGAAAUUAUUUAUUUAUUUUUAAGAUUUUAUUUAUUUAUUCAUGAGAGACACACACAGAGAG